rnacentral:rRNA from 1 species
UUGGAGGGCAAGUCUGGUGCCAGCAGCCGCGGUAAUUCCAGCUCCAAUAGCGUAUAUUAAAGUUGUUGCAGUUAAAAAGCUCGUAGUUGAAUUUCGGGGUUAGUAGGUUGGUCAUGCCUCUGGUAUGUACUGGUCUCACUGAUUCCUCCUUCCUGAUGAGCCGUAAUGCCAUUAAUUUGGUGUUGCGGGGAAUUUGGACUGUUACUUUGAAAAAAUUAGAGUGUUUAAAGCAAGCUAACGCUUGAAUACAUUAGCAUGGAAUAAUGAAAUAGGACGUUCGAUCCUAUUUUGUUGGUUUCUAGGAUUGACGUAAUGAUUAAUAGGGAUAGUUGGGGGCAUUAGUAUUCAAUUGUCAGAGGUGAAAUUCUUGGAUUUAUUGAAGAUUAACUACUGCGAAAGCAUUUGCCAAGGAUGUUUUCAUUAAUCAAGAACGAAAGUUAGGGGAUCGAAGACGAUCAGAUACCGUCGUAGUCUUAACCAUGAACUAUGCCGACUAGGGAUCGGAUGAUGUUAAUUUUUUAAUGACUCAUUCGGCGCCUUACGGGAAACCAAAGUGUUUGGGUUC